GAUGAACGCUAGCUACAGGCUUAACACAUGCAAGUCGAGGGGUAACGAGAGGAAAGCUUGCUUUCCUUGUCGACGACCGGCGCACGGGUGAGUAACGCGUAUCCAACCUGCCCCCAACUAAGGAAUAACCUUGCGAAAGUAAGACUAAUACCUUAUAAUUUCCUCAGAUGACAUCUGACGAGGAAUAAAGAUUUAUCGGUUGUGGAUGGGGAUGCGUCUGAUUAGCUUGUUGGCGGGGUAACGGCCCACCAAGGCAACGAUCAGUAGGGGUUCUGAGAGGAAGGUCCCCCACAUUGGAACUGAGACACGGUCCAAACUCCUACGGGAGGCAGCAGUGAGGAAUAUUGGUCAAUGGGCGGAAGCCUGAACCAGCCAAGUAGCGUGCAGGAUGACGGCCCUAUGGGUUGUAAACUGCUUUUAUACAGGAAUAAAGUUAGCCACGUGUGGUUAUCUGUAGGUACUGUAUGAAUAAGGACCGGCUAAUUCCGUGCCAGCAGCCGCCGCCG
rnacentral:rRNA from 1 species